rnacentral:rRNA from 1 species
CGACAGGACGGAGAGACGCCGUGGAGCUUUACUGUAGGCUGAUAUUGAAAGUCGGCACAUGUUGGACAGGAUAUGUAGGAGCCUGUGAAACGUGAGCGCUAGCGUACGUGGCGGCGCUGGUGUGAUACUACACUAGCUGUGUUGGAUUUGUAACCCGGACCACGGAUCGUGGUGGGAGACAGGGUCAGGCGGGCAGUUUGACUGGGGUGGUCGCCUCCUAAAAGGGAACGGAGGCGAUGAAAGGUUCCCUCAGAAUGGUUGGAAAUCAUGCAUAGAGUGUAAAGGCAUAAGGGAGCGUGACUGCGAGACCUACAAGUCGAGCAGGGUCGAAAGACGGACUUAGUGAUCCGGUGGUUCCGCAUGGAAGGG